UCGCCUGUUUACCAAAAACAUCGCCUCUUGAAUAUCUAUAAGAGGUCCAGCCUGCCCAGUGACUUUGUUCAACGGCCGCGGUAUCCUAACCGUGCGAAGGUAGCGUAAUCACUUGUCUUUUAAAUGGGGACUUGUAUGAAUGGCAUCACGAGGGUUAUACUGUCUCCUUUUUCUAAUCAGUGAAACUAAUCUUCCCGUGAAGAAGCGGGAAUAAACAUAUAAGACGAGAAGACCCUAUGGAGCUUUAAACUCAAUAACAAAUACUAACCUUACAUCAACUUUCAGAAGAUCAACCUUAAUUUUAGUAUUAUGAUUAUUAGUUUUAGGUUGGGGUGACCGCGGAGUAAAAAUUAACCUCCACAUUGAACGGGACCUGUCCCUGAGCCAAGAACUACAGCUCGAAGCACCAACAAAUUGACAUUAAUUGACCCA
rnacentral:rRNA from 1 species